rnacentral:rRNA from 1 species
UACGGGGGGGGCAAGCGUUGUUCGGAAUUACUGGGCGUAAAGGGCUCGUAGGCGGCCAACUAAGUCGGAUGUGAAAUCCCCAGGCUCAACCUGGGAACUGCAUCCGAUACUGGAUGGCUUGAAUUCGGGAGAGGGAUGCAGAAUUCCAGGUGUAGCGGUGAAAUGCGUAGAUAUCGGAAGGAACAUCAGUGGCGAAAGCGACUUCCUGGACCAAUACUGACGCUCAUGUGCGAAAGCGUGGGGAGCAAACAGG